AUUAUAUUUGAAAAAAUGGUGGAUGCGCCGGGAAUCAUUGAUAAUUGUGAGCAUUUCAAAAUUUCGUACUUUUGUAUUAGGAGAGCAUAAGUCAUGUUGGGUAUUUAGUGUUAUUAUUAUUUUCAUAAACAAAAUCGAAUAGGUGCGUUCUUUUUAAUGUCCGAUGUUGUAUGAACUGAUUUACUUACAAAAAAUUGUUUUCUGAAACUUAAAUUGAAAAAUAUCGUUGCAAUUAGUUUAUGAGAGCUUUCUAACACAUGCUACUAUUUGGUUUUAAAUUAAUUAUUCACAAUAAACAUUUUUAAAUCUCAAUAUUUUAUCGAAGCUUACUUAAAUGACAGUGGGUUGCUUAUGGGUUAUGUUGUUGUUUACAACCGCUAUUAUUGUUACUAAAAUUGCUUAAAUUUUAUUUUAAAACAAGAAUUUGUAGUUCUUAUGGAUUGUUGAGCUUAUACGAUGCCAUCUCUGCAGUUCCAUGAUGUCGUCGUUCAUUUCCUCUAGAAAAGCCUCCAAAUUAGGUUUAUGUUUCUGAAAAAAUACGUGCUAAACGUAUAAGUGUUUAGGCCUACCUUCCUUCUUCAACUCAUGAAAUAAAUGUAUCUAAUAUAGUAAUGUGACAGUGUCUGUUAUUCUUGAACUGCGAUGUGUUAUAAUUUCAACAACCAUAAAAUUAAUCAUAAAUCAUAAAACCAAAGGCUUGUAGAUAUGUUUAAAUAUGUGAGGGCACUUUUUGUUGUCGAAAGUACAUGUAGUUAUAAAAAUUGGCGAAAAGUUAAGUAAUCAACGUAACUAGUCAAUUGUGAUCUUUUUCAUUCAUUCAGUUAUGUGUUCCCAACCCAAUCAUUAUUUAUAUAUUGAAAUACAUUGUAUGUUUUACAAUACUUCUUGAAUUAUAGAUCUUUUCUGUAUUUAUCGUGUUCAGUUACACAUUUGUAAUGUGAGUAAAAAUAAAGUUCUUUUUCUGCCUGUUCA